UGCGCCAUUCAAAAUACAUUGACCUUCCUUAUUCGACUUUGGACUCUACUUCCAAGAUCGGAGAGGAUUUGACUGGAUGUUUGAAAGCCGUCAGAAAGAGAUGUCGCGAUGCCCGCUAAAUCUUUUAUGUCCAAUUGCGAGAAUUAGCGUUCGUGAUAUUAUCUUCGGGUAAUAUCACGGCAACCGGGGAUUAUUUUACAGAUUCGCAGUUAAUCUGAGGCAAUUUCCAACUCUAAUCGAUCACUUCGAUUCGAUCAGUGGAAGAGGCAAAAGUGGUCCGUAUUUGUUUCGCGUCGUGGUGUAAUUUAAAAUUUGAUCGUCAAUCAGUAAUUUGUUCGAUCUAAGUUGCGGCAGUGCGUGUUACUAGUUUAGAAAAGGUGCGAGGCAGCGAAGCCAUUUGCCGUUACACCACCAUCCCAUUAGAGACCGCUUUUGACCCCACUCGUCGGCGUCGAGGUAAUCCCGGGGCACACGUGGCCGGAAGAGGGCCGCGUCACGUUCCUUUUACGCGCCCUAGACAGGCAGGCUCAUCAAACCAUCAGCGUCCAACCGACAGCAGCGAGAACUAUUGUUCGACGAACGGACGCAUGUGCCGCGUUCAAGCGUAAGACCACGCGCCAGGUGAGAGAGUCAUCAACGAUCGACACGUAAAGCCGUCGACAUCGGGCCGGAGUAGUGCGUAAGCAGCUCUGUGUGCUCAGCCGCCGACUCAUCACCAUCCAACCA